AUUGAACGCUGGCGGCAGGCCUAACACAUGCAAGUCGAGCGAGCGGCGGACGGGUGAGUAAUGUCUGGGAAACUGCCUGAUGGAGGGGGAUAACUACUGGAAACGGUAGCUAAUACCGCAUAACAUCAGAUGUGCCCAGAUGGGAUUAGCUAGUAGGUGGGGUAACGGCUCACCUAGGCGACGAUCCCUAGCGGGUCUGAGAGGAUGACCAGCCAAACUGGAACUGAGACACGGGCCAAACGCCUACGGGAGGCAGCAGUGGGGAAGAUGGCACAAUGGGCGCAAGCCUGAUGCAGCCAUGCCGCGUGUGUGAAGAAGGCCUUCGGGUUGUAAAGCACUUUCAGCGGGGAGGCGUUACCCGCAGAAGAGGCACCGGCUAACUCGGUGCCAGCAGCCGCGGUAAUAC
rnacentral:rRNA from 1 species